UACGGAGGGUGCAAGCGUUACCCGGAAUCACUGGGCGUAAAGGGCGUGUAGGCGGCUCGUUCAGUCUGGUUUUAAAGACCGAAGCUCAACUUCGGGCAUGGACUGGAUACUGGCGAGCUAGACGGAUGGAGAGGUCACUGGAAUUCUUGGUGUAGCGGUGGAAUGCGUAGAUACCAAGAGGAACACCGAUGGCGAAGGCAGCCCCCUGGGAUAAUAUUGACGCUCAUGCACGAAAGCGUGGGGAGCAAACAGG
rnacentral:rRNA from 1 species